GUGUGUAUUAAUUUUUUCUUUGGUGAAAACAAUUUCCUUGGAACCUAACCCCCCCCAUUUACAUUAAUUCUUAUGGGGAAAUCGGAUUUGCUUAACAUCCACUUCACUGAAAGUCACAUUUUUCAGGAACACAACUACAACGUUAAGUGAGGAGUUACUGUAGU